GUACAGGACAGUUUAAGACUUUCAAGAUAGAGAUGGGAUGCAAUACAUAAUUUGUUUUGAUCAUUGAAUAAAAGGAGGGUCAGAAAGCAGCAAAAUUU